rnacentral:rRNA from 1 species
UGCGUCCUACGGGGCGCAGCAGUGGGGGAUAUUGCACAAUGGAGGGAACUCUGAUGCAGCGACGCCGCGUGAGGGAAGAAGGUUUUCGGAUUGUAAACCUCUGUCUUCGGUGACGAAACGAGACGGUAGCCGAGGAGGAAGCCACGGCUAACUACGUGCCAGCAGCCGCGGUAAUACGUAGGUGGCAAGCAUUGUCCGGAAUUACUGGGUGUAAAGGGAGCGUAGGCGGGAAAGCAAGUUGAAUGGUUAAGGUACGGGCUCAACCU